UACGUAGGGGGCAAGCGUUGUCCGGAAUCAUUGGGCGUAAAGCGCGUGUAGGCGGCUUGGUAAGUCUGGUGUGAAACCUCGGGGCUCAACCCCGAGCCUGCACUGGAUACUGCCUCGCUUGAGUCCGGGAGGGGAGAGCGGAAUUCCUAGUGUAGAGGUGAAAUGCGUAGAUAUCUGGAGGAACACCGGUGGCGAAGGCGGCAUUCUGGACCGACAUUGACGCUGAGGAGCGAAAGCCAGGGGAGCAAACGGG
rnacentral:rRNA from 1 species